AUCCGUGAACAUGUCGAGCAUCAGUUCUCUCCAUCCUGCAGACUUCUUCCUCCACACAAAGGUCUUGCACCAACAUCCUUCUCUGCAGAUUGCAAGGGCAACUCUCUCCCAUCUCCUACUUCCAGCCACUGGAUUUUCCACUGAAGGACAAAAGACUCUUUGCAGAUUCCCAGACAUGCCUCUGACAUCCACCAUGCCACAAGGGUGAUGCUUUCACAGUUCCCUCGGCAUUUUGGUCAUCUUCUCAACAGCUUUGAAACUCUCUCCUUGAACCUUUUUAAUAGGG